CCAAUAAGGAUAGCGCCUGAUCUGGAAACAGAUGACGAGGAAAGAGUUUAUCGAAACAUUCGGCGGAUGACUCUAGGGACUGCACUCUACAGGCAAGAACAAAUCUCAUCGUAAGGUGAUGACAAAGACUUGCUACGCAGAUAG
rfam:Enterococcus casseliflavus EC20, complete genome.